UGGUUAUUGUCCAACUGGUCGAGCAUUCUCUGUUGAUGAACCUUCAUGUUCUCCUCCAUGUCGUCAGUCAUAUCUAGAAAGUCCAUGACGUCAUUCCCCUCGGCCACCACAAAAGGCACCACCAUCAGGCACAUAAGAAGGCCGAAGAGGUUCUGGUUGUGGUACUCCUUCUUCAGCUCAUCCAGAGUGAAGGGAGUCUUCUUGCCGGCAUUCGAGAGAACUUGAGAAAAGGACUCGUAGUAAGUCUUCAUGAACGCCUCCAGGUUGUUCUUCCUCACCUGGCCCUCCAGGCUCGAGUACAGGAGGUAGUUGAGGUCAGUGGCCAGCGAGGCUUUGCGGCAAAUCUGAAGGUCGAGAAGGCGCACGUCCACGGGUUUUCCGCUCUCGUCGUACCUG